AUUUAAAUAGUUUAAUUUAAAAACAUUGAUUUGUGGAAUCAAAAAUAUUUACACAAUUUUAAAUA
rnacentral:tRNA from 1 species